AAAUUGAAGAGUUUGAUCAUGGCUCAGAUUGAACGCUGGCGGCAGGCCUAACACAUGCAAGUCGAGCGGUAGCACAGAGAGCUUGCUCUCGGGUGACGAGCGGCGGACGGGUGAGUAAUGUCUGGGAAACUGCCUGAUGGAGGGGGAUAACUACUGGAAACGGUAGCUAAUACCGCAUAAUGUCGCAAGACCAAAGUGGGGGACCUUCGGGCCUCAUGCCAUCAGAUGUGCCCAGAUGGGAUUAGCUAGUAGGUGGGGUAACGGCUCACCUAGGCGACGAUCCCUAGCUGGUCUGAGAGGAUGACCAGCCACACUGGAACUGAGACACGGUCCAGACUCCUACGGGAGGCAGCAGUGGGGAAUAUUGCACAAUGGGCGCAAGCCUGAUGCAGCCAUGCCGCGUGUGUGAAGAAGGCCUUCGGGUUGUAAAGCACUUUCAGCGGGGAGGAAGGCGGUGAGGUUAAUAACCUCA
rnacentral:rRNA from 2 species